AGCUAAAUGUACUUUAUUUAUAUAGUUCAUCCGUAAACAACAAAUUAUAAUAUCUGUUCAACAUGAACUGACAGUGCGUAGCCAAUAUUAAUAUUUAAACUAAAAAUUAUUUAUUAUUAAAUUUUACCUUGUGGUUCAUGGCUUCAACAGUCAAGACAAUUUCCCUCUUUACUAGCCAUUCUACAGUCUUUAUUCCAAAUUAAUAAUUAUUAGAUAUUUAAUUGAGUAUAUUAUACAUUUAUACUUAACCUACCUAAUAUAAUUUUUUCACGUGCUCGAUAGACACUUACAACCUACACGGGUAUGCAUAAUAUCGUGUAGGUAUUAGUGUAUUAUUCUUCGUUAGUCUUCAUUAUUUUAAUGGUUGUGGCAAC